rnacentral:rRNA from 1 species
AGCUCCAUUAGUGUAUACGCAUUUUGCUGUAGUUAAAACGCUCGUAGUCAAACCUUUGGCCAGUCCGGCGGGUCCCGCCGCAAGGUGGGCACUCAUUGGUCUGGCCUUUCUUUCUGUGGACCCAUAGUGCUCUUAACUGGGUGCUGUGGUGAAGCAGGACUUUUACUUUGAAAAAAUUAGAGUGUUCAAAGCAGGCUUCGGCUUGAAUAGAUUAGCAUGGAAUAAUAGAAUAGGACUUCGGUUCUAUUUUGUUGGUUUCUAGAACCCGAGUAAUGAUGAAUAGGAACAGUCGGGGGCAUUAGUAUUUGUUCGCUAGAGGUGAAAUUCUUGGAUUGAGCAAAGACUGACUUCUGCGAAAGCAUUUGCCAAGGAUGUUUCCA